rnacentral:rRNA from 1 species
GCGAACGCUGGCGGCAGGCUUAACACAUGCAAGUCGAGCGCCCCGCAAGGGGAGCGGCAGACGGGAGAGUAACACGUGGGAACGUCCCCUUCGGUUCGGAACAACACAGGGAAACUUGUGCUAAUACCGGAUACGUCCGUAAGGAGAAAGAUUCAUCGCCGAGGGAUCGGCCCGCGUCUGAUUAGCUAGUUGGUGGGGUAAUGGCCCACCAAGGCGACGAUCAGUAGCUGGUCUGAGAGGAUGAUCAGCCUCACUGGGACUGAGACACGGCCCAGACUCCUACGGGAGGCAGCAGUGGGGAAUAUUGGACAAUGGGCGCAAGCCUGAUCCAGCCAUGCCGCGUGGAUGAUGAAGGCCUUAGGGUUGUAAAGUCCUUUUAACGGGGAAGAUAAUGACGGUACCCGUAGAAUAAGCCCCGGCUAACUUCGU